UACAGAGGGUGCGAGCGUUGUUCGGAUUCAUUGGGCGUAAAGGGUGCGUAGGCGGCGCGGUAAGUCGGGUGUGAAAUCUCGGGGCUUAACUCCGAAACUGCAUUCGAUACUGCCGUGCUUGAGGACUGGAAAGGAGACUGGAAUUUACGGUGUAGCGGUGAAAUGCGUAGAUAUCGUAAGGAAGACCAGUGGCGAAGGCGGGUCUCUGGACAGUUCCUGACGCUGAGGCACGAAGGCCAGGGGAGCAAACGGG
rnacentral:rRNA from 1 species